UGGCGGCACUAGCGCGGUGGUCCCACCUGACCCCAUGCCGAACUCAGAAGUGAAACGCCGUAGCGCCGAUGGUAGUGUGGGGGUCUCCCCAUGCGAGAGUAGGGAACUGCCAGGCA
rnacentral:rRNA from 2 species